rnacentral:rRNA from 1 species
UACGGAGGAUGCAAGCGUUAUCCGGAAUGAUUGGGCGUAAAGCGUCCGCAGGUGGCUGUGUAAGUCUGCUGUCAAAGAGCGAAGCUCAACUUCGUAAAGGCAGUGGAAACUACACGGCUAGAGUGCGUUCGGGGCAGAGGGAAUUCCUGGUGUAGCGGUGAAAUGCGUAGAGAUCAGGAAGAACACCGGUGGCGAAGGCGGGAUCCUGGGCCAGUACUGACGCUGAGGCGCGAAAGCUAGGGGAGCGAACGGG